AAAUUUUUUGCCACAGAAUUUUGAAGUUUUAAGAUAGAUUUAGGAUCUCUCAUAACAGAUGAGAAUUUAAUUUGUCAUUUUCUCCAACUAAUUCGAAGUUUUCGAAAUUUUCUUAUAUUGAAGGAGAUCAAUCUGCAAUAAACAAUAUCAAUGACAGUCUAUAUUAUUUGUGAAGUCUUGUGUAAACAUUUUCUAUACAGGCUUACAGUGCAUCCAUCUAUCAUAUAUCUGAGCAUUCAAAGUAUUUUUUGAAACUUGAACUCUCUCGUACGUGAAGAUUUCCAUAAAAUUUAUAAACGU